rnacentral:Y_RNA from 1 species
GGCUGGUCCGAGUACAGUUCUAUUUACAAUUGAUCACAGCCGCUUACAGAUUUCUUUAUUCCUUCUCUACUCCCACUCCUUCACUUGAGUAGCCCAAG